CACACACACACACACACACACACACACAAAAAUGACACAAGACAUGUCAGACAUGGCCUUCUAUAAUUGUGAGCGAACAAGCUAUGUCAAAUGCUAUUUCAGUCCGAGCUGUGUGGCAUAAAAGUCGCUUGUUGCCGGGUUUCGCUCAACUUCUCUACAUUGUACAUCUUUUGAAGGGAAUAAAUAUGAAGAUCUGUUCUUCAUGUACAAUAUUACAUAUCUACAGUAUCUUUUUUUCCCACAAACUUGAUAACUUUUGGGAAAUCCUAUGAUACACCAAUAAAGUAUUGUUUACAGUAGUAAGAACUGUAUCCUCCAUUUUGACUAACCUCAUGGUGUCAGAUGAUCAGCAUUUCCUGUUGCUAGCUUGCAGUGCUCUGAUCUGUGAAGCCUGUAACCACUUCCUCUUUUGACCCUAUUCAACCAUCAGUUGGUUCCUCUAGAAACUGACAGCUGACACUUGUUUCUCUAAAUCUUUUAAUUUAAGAGGCAGUGAAAAACCCCUUCAAUGUUUAAGACUUCCAAUUUUAAAGGAACUUAAAAGCGCUGUAACAAUUAUUUUCAUUGCCGUCUAAUCAUUUUCUCGAUUAAUCUAUACGUUUUUUGGUCUCUAAAAUGUCAGAAAAUGGUGAAA